rnacentral:snRNA from 1 species
AUCUGUUCUUAUCAGUUUAAUAUCUGAUAGUCCCUUAUAUGGGGGCCACAUAUUAAAUUGAUUUUUGGGACAGGGAGUUGGACUAGGGGCUUGCUCUGUCCACUCCAAGCAUCAACCUGGUAUUGCAGUACAUCUGGGAAUGGUGC